CAACCUCUGACGAUAACCGUGAAUGUUG
rfam:Flavobacterium cauense R2A-7 FCR2A7T_4, whole genome shotgun sequence.